rnacentral:rRNA from 1 species
UACAGAGGGUGCGAGCGUUAAUCGGAAUUACUGGGCGUAAAGCGUGCGUAGACGGCUAUCUAAGUCGGGUGUGAAAGCCCUGGGCUCAACCUAGGAAGUGCACUCGAAACUGCUGAGCUGGAGUCCUGGAGAGGAAGGCGGAAUUCUCGGUGUAGAGGUGAAAUUCGUAGAUAUCGAGAGGAACACCGGUGGCGAAGGCGGCCUUCUGGACAGUGACUGACGCUGAGACGCGAAAGCGUGGGGAGCAAACAGG